AACGAACGCUGGCGGCAUGCCUAAUACAUGCAAGUCGAACGAGAUCUUCGGAUCUAGUGGCGCACGGGUGCGUAACGCGUGGGAAUCUGCCCUUGGGUUCGGAAUAACUUCUGGAAACGGAAGCUAAUACCGGAUGAUGACGUAAGUCCAAAGAUUUAUCGCCCAAGGAUGAGCCCGCGUAGGAUUAGCUAGUUGGUGGGGUAAAGGCCCACCAAGGCGACGAUCCUUAGCUGGUCUGAGAGGAUGAUCAGCCACACUGGGACUGAGACACGGCCCAGACUCCUACGGGAGGCAGCAGUAGGGAAUAUUGGAAAAUGGGGGAAGCCCUGAUCCAGCACUGCCGCGUGAGUGAUGAAGGCGUUAGGGUUGUAAAGCUCUUUUACCCGGGAUGAUAAUGACAGUACCGGGAGAAUAAGCUCCGGCUAACUCCGUG
rnacentral:rRNA from 1 species